rnacentral:ncRNA from 1 species
CAGAGUAGAAAACGGAGCGUAAAGUGUUCCGCGGACGGGGAGUUGUCGCGGAGAUGAAAGGCGUGCCUGCGGUUCCGUUUUCGCAUCCCGCUG